rnacentral:rRNA from 2 species
AUUGAACGCUGGCGGAAUGCUUUACACAUGCAAGUCGAACGGCAGCACGGGGCAACCUGGUGGCGAGUGGCGAACGGGUGAGUAAUACAUCGGAACGUGCCCAAUCGUGGGGGAUAACGUAGCGAAAGUUACGCUAAUACCGCAUACGAUCUACGGAUGAAAGCGGGGGAUCGCAAGACCUCGCGCGAAUGGAGCGGCCGAUGUCAGAUUAGGUAGUUGGUGGGGUAAAGGCUCACCAAGCCGACGAUCUGUAGCUGGUCUGAGAGGACGACCAGCCACACUGGGACUGAGACACGGCCCAGACUCCUACGGGAGGCAGCAGUGGGGAAUUUUGGACAAUGGGCGCAAGCCUGAUCCAGCCAUUCCGCGUGCAGGAUGAAGGCCUUCGGGUUGUAAACUGCUUUUGUACGGAACGAAACGGUUCUCUCUAAUACAGGGGGCUAAUGACGGUACCGUAAGAAUAAGCACCGGCUAACUACGUG